CCGCACGACUCCUGCCUGAGGUGCCUAGGCGAGUCCCAACUUGUGGACAAGUGUCGGAUCUGCAAGGCGUUCAAGCCUCGAACGAAGAAGGAGCGGGACAGUCGCCUGAAGCAGAUCCUGAUGGAGGCAGCGCUGACUCCCCCACCGUCGGCACCAACUCCGGCACCGGGACCAAGUGUCGCCUCCGCUCCGGACCGCCCGGCGCCGGCGAAGGCUCCAACUUCCCGCUCGGCACCAGCCCGGCACCCUAGCUGGCACCGCUCACUCUCCCUGAGGAGCAAAAAGCACAGGGCUCCUGCGGUGCCUGCAACUGCACCACAGUCAGAGCGUGGCUCAAAACCUGACCGCCCGGCACCGUCAUCCGCCGCGGCACCGAGCGUCGUCACACCGUCGACUCCGACCCCUCAGAGACCGUUGAGUCCGGUGCCUUUCAGCUCCCCAGUGAGGACAGGGGUCGAGCUUGUCGCGCUCUCCACGCCGGAGGCCUUCUCAGCGGCACGCGACCUCAUCGCACUGACAGAGCCCAAGCUGCCCCAACCCCCGGCACCGCCGGUGCGGGUUAUCCAAUCGAUGGGCAAGCCCGCCAUGGUACGGCCGGAUUCGCUGGGUACUCCCGGGCAUCGGUCCCGUUCCAGAUCAAGGGACCACUCCCAGCGUCGCCGCUCGAGAUCUAGACGCCGCUCGCAGUCCCAGGACCGCUACCUGCGGCACUGGUCGUUCUCGCGGCACCGUUCGAGAUCCCGGUCGCCGUCGUACUACUCUCGGCACCGGUCUAGAUCACGGUACCAAUGUUCCUAUCGCAGCCGGUCCCGGCACGGCAGUGGACGGCACCGGUCGACCUCCUGGCACCGAGCUGGUAGCAGGUCCCGGUCUAGAUCGCGGUACCGCCAUGACUCCCAGUACCGUUCANGGCACCGCGCAGCGACGUCAGGAUGCGCAGGGGCCUGCCACAGUCAUCGACGGCCCCUCCAUGGCCUUCGAGGCACUCGUCCGCUUCUUCCCAUAUGGACAGCGCCUCUUACGGGGGUUCGGAUGUUCACGCCCGCACGNNN
rnacentral:lncRNA from 1 species